rnacentral:tRNA from 1 species
AUGCUAUUAGUAUAAAUUCAUUAUUUUUCUUUUCCACAGAAAAGAUCUAAUUAUAGAUGGCAUA